AUGGAAACUGCAGCCGUGCCUGUCUGUCUCCUUUUACUGUGGAUCUCAAAUGUCACUGGAGAAAUGACAACACAGUCUCCUGCCUCCCUGAGUUUUUCUCCAGGUGAAACAGCAACUCUGACAUGCAUAUCCACUCAGAGUGUUGGCACUUAUUUAGCUUGGUACCAACAGAAACCAGGGCGGGUUCCCAGGCUCCUUAUCCAUAGUGCAUCCACCAGGGCCAGUGAUGUCCCAGUCCGGUUCAGUGGCAGUGGAUCUGGGACAGACUUCACUCUCACCAUCAGUAGUCUGGAACCUGAGGAUGUUGCCACUUACUAUUGUCAGCCAAUGAAUGGUUGGUCACCCACAGCGAUUCAACAUGUGACAAAAACCUCAAGGAGACCACAAUGUUUUUGA